GGCAUACAUAUCAAAACGACCUCGUUUGUUCCCCACGAAGAACAGCAAUGAGGCUUAAAACUGUUGGGAAUGCACUACUCGGCACUUGCUUUCAUUGUCGGAGCAGUGAAUUUUUGAGGCUCAAAUGCCGACGGAAAAAAAUCAAACAGUGAUGAUUAUCGGUUCUGCAAUUUCUGAAUGAAGAAAGGAAUGAAGAUAGUGACGUACAAUGUGAACGGCUUAAGGCCGCGCAUACAACAAUACGGUUCACUUCCGAAACUUCUAGAUUCACUCGACGCUGAUAUCAUCUGUUUUCAGGAGACUAAAUUGUCCAAACAUGAUUUACGAGCCGAUUUGGUUCGUGCUGAGGGUUACGAGUCUUUCUUCUCUUGUACUCGUACUUCUGAUCGUGGCCGCUCCGCUGGCUAUUCCGGUGUUGCAACAUUUUGCCGUGUAAAAUCUGCAUUCUUGAGCAAUGAGGUAGCUCUGCCAAUUGCUGCAGAAGAGGGCUUCACUGGUCUCCUCAGGACAUCUAACGGAUAUGAAUCUAGAAAGGAUGAGUGUCCUUCAAUAGCAGAAGGCCUUGAGUGCUUUUCUAGAGAUGAGCUUCUUAAAGCUGAUAGUGAGGGACGUUGUCUGAUUACUGAUCAUGGUCAUUUUGUUCUAUUCAAUAUAUAUGGGCCCAGAGCUGUUCAGGAUGACUCUGAGAGAAUCCAAUUUAAGCUGACGUUUUUCAAGAUGUUAGAGAGAAGAUGGGAGUGUCUCCUGCAUCAAGGAAGGAGGAUUAUCAUCAUAGGGGAUCUCAAUAUUGCUCCUGCUGCCAUAGACCGCUGUGACGCAGAACCUGAUUUUGAGAAGAACGAGUUCAGGAAAUGGUUUAGAUCGUUAUUAUUGCAGAAUGGAGGGCGUCUCCUUGAUGUUUUUAGAGCAAAACAUCCUGAUAGAAAAGGAGCCUAUACUUGCUGGUCGCAGAGUACAGGAGCCGAGGAAUUUAAUUUUGGUUCUAGGAUUGACCAUAUACUUAGUGCAGGAUCAUGCUUGCAUGGUGAGGAAAAUCAAGAAGGGCACGACUUUGGUACUUGCCAUGUUGCAGAGUGUGACAUAUUGAUGCAAUUUCAAAGGUGGAAACCUGGAAAUACGCCAAGGUGGAAAGGAGGGAGGAGCAUCAAAUUAGAAGGUUCUGAUCAUGUUCCAGUUUACACGAGUUUAGUGGAAAUCCCUGAAGUAUUGGAGCAUAGCACCCCAUCAUUGUCUACCAGAUACCAUCCCCAGGUCUACGGGAGUCAGCAAACUCUUGUGUCUAUGUUCACAAGAAGGCAAUCAAUUGAGCAAGUUAUUUCAGAGGAAAGGGUAAGCCCUCUGUUCCCAAGUCAUGAAAAGUUUACCUCAACGCCAGAGAACUACGAUAGUAAAGCUUCGCAAAUUAGGGUGCUUGGUUCUCGAAGUAAUGCUAAUAUUCUGCCGAGCAUUGUAGCCAAGAAGAAAUCAAGGCAUGGUCAGGGGUCUCAGCUCACGCUCAACUCAUUCUUCCAGAAAUGCACUAGAAGCGAGACUUCUGACAGUAGCUCUGCUGAUUCUAAAAUUUGUCAGACAGACAUUUCUUACUCUCAGACUGACCUCAAUGGAGUUCCUUCUGCUGAUGAUGAAAGUGGUCCUUCAAAGGACUGCAGAUUAAAUGCUAUUGACAAUAUUCAAAAUGAAGGCCAUGUAGAUGCAUGCGAUUCAGAUAAAGAGAAGAGGAAAGUGGCAUUACAGGAGUGGCAAAGGAUUCAACAAUUAAUGCAGAAUAGUGUACCUCUUUGUAAGGGCCAUCGAGAACCUUGUGUUCCACGGAUUGUUAAAAAAGCAGGCCCCAAUUUGGGCCGCAGAUUUUAUGUCUGUGCUCGAGCUGAGGGACCUGCAUCAAAUCCUGAAGCAAAUUGUGGUUAUUUCAAAUGGGCUGCUGCUUCAAAAUGUAAGGAGAAAGGAAAGUGAAGUCUCUGCUGCAUCUAUUCGUACGUGAUAAACAACUAAAGUUCUGCAUAAUGAGAGAGUUCAGGCUGCCAGGGAGAGUCUCAAACCUCAAGGGAGGAAAUCCGAGGUGAGUGGAAGAGAUUUGUUUUUUUCUACUAGUUCUAGUUUUUUUUCUUUAUUUCUUUCUUAUAAAAAAGAACAACUAAGUUUUUAUGGCGAGAAGAGCAUGUCCUUGAGAUCUGUAAAAUGGUAUGGUGUUUGCCUUCAAGGCUUCUGCCAUUCUUUCUUGUUCUACUGAUUUAUUGCUCAGUUUGGUUGUUCAUGGAGCUGGAAUGGACACCAAAUUAGCACUAGCUAGUUGGAAUCAAACAAAAAGGAAUUAACAAACUGCCAAGAGAUGGGAAUUGAGGACUUCGGUUGAUCUUUAUUACACUUGUUACAAUCAUUAUUUCUAUACUGAUUUUGAAUUGCUGAAAACAAAUGAUUUCCCUUUAUUUGGUACAAUUGAAGAUUUUAAAUACAAAUUGUAUUUCUUUUGUUGGCCAUCUAAGGAAGGUGCUUACCUUUUCACUCUGGUAUUGUAAUUCAGAGGGGUUGAAUAUUUGAUACAUUAACAUGUUUC